rnacentral:piRNA from 1 species
UGGAGGACCCCUCGCAAGUUGUACGC